ACUGACAUGCAGGGGAAGAAGAGGAAGAGUUGGAGAUGAUUGAUACUGAUGCUGCAUGUAGAUUAAGUGCCCUUCUCUCCAGAGUUUGGCCCCGUAUAGUGUCUUUGCUUGUCCGAUGCCAGCACAGCACACUCCAGGCCUGAGCACUUGCUGGCAGAUGAGCUGCAUAGUUUGCCGGCGUGUUUGUGUAGGACGGAAGAUUAUUUCUUUAUUUUGGGUUGAUACUUACACGUCAUAAUCUCCUCCAGAUGGCUCCCAUCUCUUGGGCACCAGGCAUGUGUGUCCGACAAAGCCCCUGCAGCAAAUGGAACAAGACCAGAAAUGGAUGGGGAUGUCAACUUACAUUUCCCCAGGGAUGUGCCAUUCAUCCUCUCAAACUGCAUGAUCAACGGGAAUGUUCAAAUUAAUAGCUAGGCCUGUCUAUGUCUAAAAUAAACAGCCAGUUUCCGA